GGAUAAUAUUCAGGUUACAACAGAAUGGAAAUCAGCCUAUUAUAAAACUUUGAAGGAAAUAUCAUGGACAAAAAAGCAAUUUCAGGGUGGACCAGGAAGGAUAACAAUUGUUAUCGAGCUUUUUGCUUCUUCGUUGCUUCCUCGCGCCAUUGCUUCUUUGCUGCUUCCUCACGCCAUUGCUUCUUCUGUGUCGCCACCACUGUUGCUUCGUCGCCGCGGCCGCUGUAGUGCGUCAUUUUAUUUGUGUCGCCUCUAUCAUCGCCGCUUCGCUGCCUUGGUCGCUACCGUCGUAGUCGUUGCUUCCC